rnacentral:rRNA from 1 species
ACGGGAGCUUGCUCCCUUAGGUCAGCGGCGGACGGGUGAGUAACACGUGGGUAACCUGCCUGUAAGACUGGGAUAACUCCGGGAAACCGGGGCUAAUACCGGAUGCUUGAUUGAACCGCAUGGUUCAAUCAUAAAAGGUGGCUUUCAGCUACCACUUACAGAUGGACCCGCGGCGCAUUAGCUAGUUGGUGAGGUAACGGCUCACCAAGGCGACGAUGCGUAGCCGACCUGAGAGGGUGAUCGGCCACACUGGGACUGAGACACGGCCCAGACUCCUACGGGAGGCAGCAGUAGGGAACCUUCCGCAAUGGACGAAAGUCUGACGGAGCAACGCCGCGUGAGUGAUGAAGGUUUUCGGAUCGUAAAACUCUGUUGUUAGGGAAGAACAAGUACCGUUCGAAUAGGGCGGCACCUUGACGGUACCUAACCAGAAAGCCACGGCUAACUACGUGCCAGCAGCCGCGGUAAUACGUAGGUGGCAAGCGUUGUCCGGAAUUAUUGGGCGUAAAGCGCGCGCAGGCGGUUUCUUAAGUCUGAUGUGAAAGCCCCCGGCUCAACCGGGGAGGGUCAUUGGAAACUGGGGAACUUGAGUGCAGAAGAGGAGAGUGGAAUUCCACGUGUAGCGGUGAAAUGCGUAGAGAUGUGGAGGAACACCAGUGGCGAAGGCGACUCUCUGGUCUGUAACUGACGCUGAGGCGCG